rnacentral:misc_RNA from 1 species
UAGCCGCGUAAUUCCAGCUCCAAUAGCGUAUAUUAAAGUUGUUGCAGUUAAAAAGCUCGUAGUUGAACUUCGGGAUCAAUUAGUUGGUCAUGCCUUGGUAUGUACUGAUUUUAUUGGUUCUCACCUUCUAAAGAACUAUAAUGUCAUUUAUUUGAUGUUAUAGGGAAUUAGGACUGUUACCUUGAAAAAAUUAGAGUGUUUAAAGCAGGCUCACGCUUGAAUACAUUAGCAUGGAAUAAUGAAAUAGGACAUCGCAUUCUAUUUUGUUGGUUUCUAGGAUCGAUGUAAUGAUUAAUAGGGAUAGUUGGGGGCAUUAGUAUUCAAUUGUCAGAGGUGAAAUUCUUGGAUUUAUUGAAGACUAACUACUGCGAAAGCAUUUGCCAAGGAUGUUUUCAUUAAUCAAGAACGAAAGUUAGGGGAUCGAAGACGAUCAGAUACCGUCGUAGUCUUAACCAUAAACUAUGCCGACUAGGGAUCGGAUGAUGUUGAUUUUUUAAUGACUCAUUCGGCACCUUACG